rnacentral:rRNA from 1 species
CGAGAAAGGGGCUUCGGCCCUGAGUACAGCGGCGCACGGGUGAGUAACACGUGGGUAAUCUGCCCUAGAGUGGGGAAUAACACCGGGAAACCGGUGCUAAUACCGCAUACGAUCAUGAGGUCUUCGGAUUUUGUGAUGAAAGGAGCAAUUCGCUCUUGGAGGAGCCCGCGGCUGAUUAGCUAGUUGGUAAGGUAAUGGCUUACCAAGGCAACGAUCAGUGGCCGGUCUGAGAGGACGGUCGGCCACACUGGAACUGAGACACGGUCCAGACUCCUACGGGAGGCAGCAGUGGGGAAUCUUGCACAAUGGGCGAAAGCCUGAUGCAGCGACGCCGCGUGAGCGAUGAAGCCCUUCGGGGUGUAAAGCUCUUUCGACGGGAACGAUAAUGACGGUACCCGGAGAAGAAGCUGCGGCUAACUACGUGCCAGCAGCCGCGGUAAUACGUAGGCAGCGAGCGUUGUUCGGAAUUACUGGGCGUAAAGAGUGUGUAGGCGGUGUUCCCAGUCUGUUGUGAAAUCUCCCGGCUUAACUGGGAGGGUGCAGCGGAAACUAGAAUGCUAGAGGGUGGGAGAGGUAAGCGGAAUUCCUGGUGUAGCGGUGAAAUGCGUAGAUAUCAGGAGGAACACCUGUGGUGUAGACAGCUUACUGGACCACUUCUGACGCUGAGACACGAAAGCGUGGGUAGCAAACAGGAUUAGAUACCCUGGUAGUCCACGCCCUAACGAUGCAUACUUGGUGUGAGCGAUUCAUUUCGUUCGUGCCGGAGCUAACGCGUUAAGUAUGC